CCUACGUGGGGCUGCAGUGGGGAAUAUUGGACAAUGGGCGAAAGCCUGAUCCAGCCAUGCCGCGUGUGUGAAGAAGGCCUUCAGGUUGUAAAGCACUUUCAGUGGGGAAGAAAGCCUUGGGGCUAAUACCCUCGAGGAAGGACAUCACCCACAGAAGAAGCACCGGCUAACUCCGUGCCAGCAGCCGCGGUAAUACGGAGGGUGCGAGCGUUAAUCGGAAUUACUGGGCGUAAAGCGCGCGUAGGCGGUCUGAUAAGCCGGUUGUGAAAGCCCCGGGCUCAACCUGGGAACGGCAUCCGGAACUGUCAGGCUAGAGUGCAGGAGAGGAAGGUAGAAUUCCCGGUGUAGCGGUGAAAUGCGUAGAGAUCGGGAGGAAUACCAGUGGCGAAGGCGGCCUUCUGGACUGACACUGACGCUGAGGUGCGAAAGCGUGGGUAGCAAACAGGAUUAGAUACCCCAGUAGUC
rnacentral:rRNA from 1 species